UAGAAGUCAAUUCAGCUUUACGCUUCGCUGUUGCAAGUGGUAUCACUAAAGUUACAGAUCUUUACAAACAUGCUGUUAAAUUUAUAAUAGAGAAAUGGAACAAAGUCUAGGGAGACGAGCCAUCAAUGUACAAAAGAAGCAUUGAAAAUGAAGCCAAAUACAGACUUGUUCGAACUAUUGAUAUGCUUGUGGAUGUAAUCACAAAAGAUUUUU